GACGAACGCUGGCGGCGUGCCUAAUACAUGCAAGUAGAACGCUGAAGAGAGGAGCUUGCUCUUCUUGGAUGAGUUGCGAACGGGUGAGUAACGCGUAGGUAACCUGCCUUGUAGCGGGGGAUAACUAUUGGAAACGAUAGCUAAUACCGCAUAACAAUGGAUGACACAUGUCAUUUAUUUGAAAGGGGCAAUUGCUCCACUACAAGAUGGACCUGCGUUGUAUUAGCUAGUAGGUGAGGUAAUGGCUCACCUAGGCGACGAUACAUAGCCGACCUGAGAGGGUGAUCGGCCACACUGGGACUGAGACACGGCCCAGACGCCUACGGGAGGCAGCAGGAGGGAAUCUUCGGCAAUGGGGACAACCCUGACCGAGCAACGCCGCGUGAGUGAAGAAGGUUUUCGGAUCGUAAAGCUCUGUUGUAAGUCAAGAACGGGUGUGAGAGUGGAAAGUUCACACUGUGACGGUAGCUUACCAGAAAGGGACGGCUAACUACGUG
rnacentral:rRNA from 1 species